AGAGUUUGAUCCUGGCUCAGAAUCAACGCUGGCGGCGCGCUUAACACAUGCAAGUCGCACGAGAAAGGGGAGCAAUCCCUGAGUACAGUGGCGUACGGGUGAGUAACACGUGGAUGAUCUACCUUCUAGUGGGGAAUAACCCAGGGNAAACCGGGGCUAAUACCGCAUAAGCUCGAGAGAGGAAAGCAGCAAUGCGCUGGAAGAGGAGUCCGCGGCCGAUUAGCUAGUUGGCAGGGNUAAAAGCCUACCAAGGCAGAGAUCGGUAGCCGGCCUGAGAGGGCACACGGCCACACUGGCACUGAAACACGGGCCAGACUCCUACGGGAGGCAGCAGUGGGGAAUCUUGCACAAUGGGGGAAACCCUGAUGCAGCGACGCCGCGUGAGCGAUGAAGCCCUUCGGGGUGUAAAGCUCUUUCGGCAGGGAAGAUGAUGACGGUACCUGCAGAAGCAGCUGCGGCUAACUACGUGCCAGCAGCCGCGGUAAUACGUAGGCAGCGAGCGUUGUUCGGAGUUACUGGGCGUAAAGGGUGUGUAGGCGGUUGUUUAAGUUUGGUGUGAAAUCUCCCGGGCUCAACUGGGAGGGUGCGCCGAAUACUGAAUGACUUGGAGUGCGGGAGAGGAAAGUGGAAUUCCUGGUGUAGCGGUGAAAUGCGUAGAUAUCAGGAGGAACACCGGUGGUGUAGACGGCUUUNUU
rnacentral:rRNA from 1 species